UACGGAGGGGGCGAGUGUUGUUCGGAAUUACUGGGCGUAAAGGGCGCGUAGGCGGCCUGGCAAGUCGAGUGUGAAAUCCCUUGGCUUAACUGAGGAAUGGCGCUCGAAACUACCUCGCUGGAGGGCGGGAGAGGGAAGUGGAACUCUCGGUGUAGGGGUGAAAUGCGCAGAUAUCAGGAGGAACACCUAUUGCGAAGGCAGCUCGCUGGGACGUAACUGACGCUGAGACGCGAAAGCGUGGGGAGCAAACAGG
rnacentral:rRNA from 1 species